AAGAAGCUCAGUAAGGUGGACAAAUCGGGAAUGAAGUCACUGGCCAGCUUCUUCUCCCCCAAGGCCAAGUCUUGAUGCCAUAAUCUACACAGUGCUAUUUAUAUACGUGUUAUAUAUUUGAUAUAAACACAAACCAGCAAUGCAUUUGUUGUUUUACCUAGGCUUUAAUGAAAGUGAGGAUUCUGGGCAUUGUUUUGAUUUUUUCAGGAAAAAAGCAAUUAUAUUAAUUAUUUUAAACAAAACUACUUAAGAACAGGAUUUUGGUGCUAGAUGACUCGUUUUUAUAUGCUGUCUAUGUUAGUUUUUGGGUUGUUAACAUGGCUAUGUUGAGAAUAAAGGCCACGGAAGUGUUCAAUUUUUGCGCAAUUAUUUGU
rnacentral:misc_RNA from 1 species